ACGAUACAGCAGACGAUACAGGAGCAAGGACA
rnacentral:scRNA from 1 species